rnacentral:rRNA from 1 species
AAAGGAAUUGACGGGAGUUCGCACAAGCGGUGGAACAUGAGGUUUAAUUCGAUAGCAAGCGAAGAACCUUACCAGGGCUUGAAAUCCUGAUGAAAGCUUAAUGAAAGUUGAGCCUUCUGCAAGGACAUCAGGACAGGUGCUGCAUGGUUGCCGUCAGCUCGUGACGCGAGUUGUUCCCUUCAGUGGGGAAACGAGCGCAACCCCUGUUUUGUGUUUUAUGUGUCACAAAAAACCGCCCUCCUCAAAGAGCAUUUCAUUUUUAAAAUAUUGAGAAGUGUUUUUUGAGGAGGGAGGAAGGAGGGGAUGACGUCAAAUCAGCAUGGCCCUUUGAUGCCCUGGGCGACACUCAUGUUACAAUGGGAUUGACAAUGCGUUGCCAAGUCGUAAGAUGGAGCUAAUCGCAUCAAACAAUCUCCCAGUCCGGAUUGAGGUCUGAAACUCGACCUCAUGAAGUUGGAAUCGCUAGUAAUCGUGGGUCAGCCACACCACGGUGAAUACGUUCUCGAACUCUGUACACACCGCCCGU